rnacentral:rRNA from 1 species
CGUAGGGUGCGUAGCGUUAAUCGGAAUUACUGGGCGUAAAGCGUGCGCAGGCGGUUUUGUAAGCCAGAUGUGAAAUCCCCGGGCUCAACCUGGGAAUGGCAUUUGGGACUGCAAGGCUGGAGUGUGGCAGAGGAGACUGGAAUUCCUGGUGUAGCAGUGAAAUGCGUAGAUAUCAGGAGGAAUACCGAUGGCGAAGGCAGGUCUCUGGGCUAACACUGACGCUCAUGCACGAAAGCGUGGGGAGCAAACAGGAUUAGAUACCCUGGUAGUCCACGCCCUAAACGAUGUCGACUGGUUGUUGGGGGUUUGACACUCUCAGUAACGAAGCUAACGCGUGAAGUCGACCGCCUGGGGAGUACGGCCGCAAGGUUA